GAUGGAUUAAAUCCAAUCCAUUAACUAUUUUUUUUGUUUGGUGGAUGGAUUGGAUGGAUAUUAUG
rfam:Medicago truncatula strain A17 chromosome 8, whole genome shotgun sequence.